CCACCCCCCCCCCAACUUCCUUGUGAUUUUUUAAAUAACGUUUUCUUCCCUGUAGCUUUACUUCCCAUAAGAAUACAGUAUAGAGUGCAUACGACAUACAGAACAUGGGUUAAUGGACUAUGUUGUCAGUGAGGCUUCUGGUCAGCAGCAAUCGAUUAGUAGUUAAGUUUUGGGGGAGUGAAAAGUAUGGACUUUUGGGGGCACCUGGC